UACAGAGGUCCCAAGCGUUUGUUCGGAUUCAUUGGGCGUAAAGGGUGCGUAGGCGGCGCGGUAAGUCGGGUGUGAAAUCUCGGGGCUUAACUCCGAAACUGCAUUCGAUACUGGAAGCUCGAGUCCGGGAGAGGUGAGUGGAACUGGCGAGUGUAGAGGUGAAAUUCGUAGAUAUCGCAAGAACACCAGUGGCGAAGGCGGCUCACUGGCCCGGUACCUGACGCUGAGGUGCGAAAGC
rnacentral:rRNA from 1 species